AUUUCAGGGGGAAAGAGGAAGACACCAGGAAGUUUUUCACCAGCCAGAGUAUCGCACUCCUACCAAGUGCAUCUCUGCGAAGACAAAACCCCAUAAUGAAAGAAACAUUCUGAGGAUGUUUGCUGAGCUCCAUAAUUGAGAGAAAGAAGUUGGACAAAGACACACCCACAGGGAAAGCACCAUGAGAAGAUGACGGCAGAGAUCUGGGCGACGCGUCUACAAGCCAAGCGACACCAAAGGUGGCCAGCAGCCCAUGUGAAGCUGGAGGAGAGGCCUCGAAUAAAUGCUCCCUUACAGCGUUCAGGGGGAACUGACCCUGUCCACACCUUGACCUUGAACUUCUGGGCUCCAGAACUGUGAGACAGCAUGUUCUGUUGUUGAAGGAGCAGCGUGGCUAGAGGAAUUCCUGCAGCUUAGAUUUCGCUGGCACUGUUACCACUCCCAGAGAGGAGCGGCUGGAGUUCACGGCUGGUUCCUGACAAACUUCCUAAUUAAUCUGCUAAAGAUCAGAGGAGGACUAAUAGGAGCUGAAGACUGUGUGCGAGACCACCCCUCCGCCCUCUCCCUUUGUGUGUGCACGUGUGUGUGUGUGUGUGUGUGAGCGCGUGCGCGCAUGUGGUGCUGAGCUUGGCGGGAGAGAGAUGGCCUCACCAGCGACAAAGCAUUCCUGCUGCUGUUGCUGCCACCUACCUUCCCUGCUUUGGGAGGAUACAUUUUCUCCUCUUGCUUAGAAGUUUCAGGGAGUCACCCAAGCCUUCUUCUCCCAGAUACAACGGUGGAAUAAAAUAUCUUCCAGCCAACAUAUUUUUUGGAGACGGAAUCUCACUCUGUCACCUGGUUGAAGUGCAGCAGCGCGAUCAUGGCUCACUGCAACCUCUGCCUCCCGGUUUCAAGUGAUUCUCCUGCCUCCGCCUCCCGAGUAGCUGGGAUUACAGGCAUGUGCCACCCACCACGCCUGGGUAAUUUUUGUAUUUUUACUAGAGACAGGGUUUCACUAUGUGGGCUGGGCUGGUCUCAAACUCCUGACCUCUGGUGAUCUGCCCACUUCGGCCUCUCAAAGUGCUGGGAUUACAGGCAUGAGCCCCCGCACCCGGUUGCAACCAACUUUUUUGUGGAAUAUAGGAUCUUGAUGUUUGGAUGCCUGAAGGCAGAAGCUGUUGCACAUGGAAUGGAUUAAAGUUUUCCCCUCUGCAACCAAAAAUCCUUGGGGUCCCAGGAGCAAAAGAUGCUCCAUGGCACAGGACAAUUCAAGAAGGCCCGAGGUGAUAUUGAAGACUGCAGAGACAUCCAGCUCAGUUGUGUCUCCGGAGGUGUCCAGACUUUGCAGACAGACGUUGCACAUAAAGAGCUGAAAAACUGAGGAAGCUGAGCUGGAGAAGGAAGUCACUUCUACUCAGACUUGACCUGCGUCUGAUGCUAUGGGGCCUCUUAGGGUUACCUCAUGCUUCAUGCACCCCUUUCUCUGUUCUUCAGCAGAAGGCAGGGUGUAGGGAAGCGGGACUGUGCCUCCUUUCUCCCUGCCAGGCCUGACUCUCCAGGCCAAGAGACACCAUUAAGGAGUAUAAUUUGUUGAUCCAGGCUCUCCUUGCGUUUCAGUGCAGAGUGGCAUCGUUUUCUUUAUGACCUCGUAAAGUCACAGCCGAGAGGCCGAUUUGGAAAACAAACUGCCUCAGGUUGACAGAUAAUUAGAUACAGGGGACAUAUUAUAUGCCUUUGCAUAUAAAUGUGCUCCGAGGCGUGUUGGUUCAUCUGAAGUUGAGGUUAAAGGCGCGCCAGAGUUAAUCCUAAUAAAAAAUGAUUACAGAAGAGGACGCCUCCACCCACAGGAAGGAGCCAGCACGGUGGGGAGCUGUUUCACCAGGGGAGUGUUCUCAGCAGCUGCCACACGUGGAGUUGUGGAGCUUAGUGUCCUCAUCCGUAAAAUGAGGGGCUCUCUGAGAGUCUGCCAGGGCCGCUGUCUGAUCUGUGACAGCGUGGCAUGUGGUGUGGUAUGUAAUGCACGUUCCUGCCUGCAGGGAGGCCCUCUCCCUUCCCCCACCAGGCUUCUGGGCAGCACUUGCUGUCAUCCUUGCUUCUGGAACAGGACUGUGCUGUUUUCCAGGCCAAAUUGGAGGGCUGAGGGGGUCUAUUAAGAAGACUCUGGGGAGAUGGUGGAACAAUUCUGUGCUUGAAAUUACCUUCCUCUUUAAAUCUUGCCAUGGCCCUAUUAGAAAAGCUAAGGGGGCAGGAGGAGAGGAGCGGGCAGGGAGAGGAGAGAGAGAGAGAAGAAGGAAGAAGGAAAGGGAAAGGUAAGAAACCCCAUAGCCCGACCCUCAGCCCUGUUGAAGGAGAUUAUAUAAAUAGAGUCGCUGUCACUUUGAUGAAUUAAAUCCUCCGUUAAUUAGGACGCAUCCAUUUAAGGGUUGUCCAGCCAGAUAGUCCUUUUCCCUUCCCAGCAAGUCAUAGCUCAGGGAGGAGGCAUGAGAGGGAUCGUUUUCUGUUUCUGGCUUGAUUGCUGGUUUCUUUCUUACUAGGCUUCAUUAAUUAUCCUGGAAUGUGGUCACCCAGUUUUCUUCAACAUGGGCCAUUCUCCUUUUAGCAGGAUCUUGGCAGUGGACUGCCACGGGAGCUCUGGGGAAAAAGGACCAGUUGGACUCCAGUACCUCCUGAGAGACCACCACCCUCCAUGCCUCCAGCUCAUGCCCAGCUCUGAGUCAGACGGACUCUUCCUGUUGUACUGCGAGGUUCUGCAAACCUUGAAGGGCAAACACAGUGAGGGUCUCUGACUUGCUGUGUGGACAGCCCACUCUCUGACAGCCCAGAUCAUCUGAAGCUAUCCCUGGGCUGGGAGCUGGAAGCCAUUCUUGUGAACCACUCCUUAUACCUUGAGCGAAGCCUCUUUGGGUCCCAGAAGUCUGAAGCUCCAGCUGCCUGGCAAGACUGAGUCUAGAUGAUUUCUUGGGUACCAGUAGUUUGGCAUUUAAAAAUACUGGAUUAACUGCAGUGUAAACUUAGAUUGCAUUUCAGAUUGUAAACAAUAACCCCCGUGCUUCAUGUGAUGUUAAAUCAGAAAUGAGCUAUUAGCCAAGCUAGUCCUCUUAUGAAUGAGCCCCUAACCCUGAUCCAGGGAUCGUUGAAUGAAAAUCAUCAAAAUGAUUUAUCUUCACUUUACCUAUUGUCUCACAAGAAUCUCAUCACUCAGGGAAAAGGAGGGUGUUCUUCAGGGAACGGAGGGCAUGAGGAAGGGGGAUUUCCUUAUAUCUCAACUUUCAGAGGGAGCUGAGUUGUAAACAGAUGGAACAAGGUGUGUACGAGAAGCCUCUUAGAUUUAGUCUUUCAUAUCAAGGCUCUUGCUGAAAAUCCUGGCACAGCUGUGAAAUGAGGGGAGCUCUGACACACAGAGACACGCUCCUUGCCUCACCAACCUUCCCAUACACAGUCAUGCGCACAGAGAGCAGGUACCAAUACUGAAAAUGCCCUUCCGGAGUUUCCUCAGCUUAAACCCUUGACAGCAUUAAGUGAGGAAGGAGUUUCCUUGACCUGGGGAAGAAGAACCAACUCAUAAACAUGGAACUGUGCCCACUGCCUUUUCCUUUGCUCUGUGGAUUGGCUGUGGUUCUGCCCUGGCACUCGGAUGUCAAGUUGCUCUGGCUGUUUGGGAGGAAGCCCAGCCUGGGUCAGGUGGUCAUAAGCCAGAGGCCCUGUCCUGUCCCCAGGGUUGGCCUCCCUCUGGGGUCCAGCAUGGCCCCAGUGCUGAGGCUCCCACUGCUGGGGAAUGUGCCCUCUCCUCUCUUUGUUUCCAUACCAAGGGGAUCUGCAGGGUAGAGGGCAAAUUAUUCUUAGCAGAUUGGGGCUAUGGGUAAACCAGAAGGGAUGAGGGAGAGAGGAGAGAGGAGAGGAAAGGGAAGGAGAGGGGAGGGCAGGGGAUAGGUAGAGGAGAGAGACAGCAAGAAAAAAUAGAAAAAAAAAAAAAGGAAAUAAAGGUUGCAUAUACAAAGGGAGAUUAACAAGGAGUAGAAGAAGGGAGGCAGAAGAGGGAGAAACAGAGAAGAGGAACAAAGAAGACAUUUCCAAAAAAGACGUGAGCACACCAGGCAGGAGGGAGAAAAGGAACAAGGAGAAAGGAAGGAAGUGAGACAAGCUGGGGAGAGAAGAGGCAAAGGCAGCCAGGAGCAGGCAUAGGGGAGAGAGGAGUGGGAAGCCCCAGGGGGUACAAGGAAAAAAAUGAGGGAAGCCAGUGGGAGGAAGGUGAGGAAGAGGAGAGGGAACAGGCACUGGGUGGGGAAGAGGCGAGCAGGAGAAAGCCUGUGCUGUGUGGAUUAUUGUGUGUUUGUCAUCUGGAAUGGUAUAAGCUGUAGGUACAGCAGCUCCCGCCCAUGAUUUAUGGUCCCUGUCAGGCAGGGACCGCGCUUUGUCUGCUGUAGCGUGGACGAUGAAUGCUCCGCUGUCAUCCCAGCCUGGCCGGCCUUUCUCUCUCUCUGCUCCCAACGCUGGCUCCCCAUUUCACGCCAGUGAACAUAAGCAAUCUUUUGUAAACCUGACAGUCACACUUGCUUCUUUGGAAACAUAAAGCAGAAAUGUAUGACUCGGCUUUCAUUACCCAAUUUCCUACGCUAUAUAAAAACACUCAGGAAAGACAUGUAAGUGGUCACGAAACCUGGGAAAUUGGAAGUGUCCUGGAGGAAAAAAAAAGGAAGAGUGGGGAGAAGGGGGCUGUAGGGUGGGAGGGAGCCGGUGAGGAGAGGAGACGAUGUGUCUAACUCCACCACAUCCUUCCCAGAAAACGCCGGCUGAUAAACGGGCCAUGCAGACACAUAAUUAUAUUACAUAUCUGAAUAAUAGACAUUUCCUGCCUGAAGUGUUGCUUUUUUUCCUCCUUCUCCUUUUAAC
rnacentral:lncRNA from 10 species